rnacentral:rRNA from 1 species
UUGGGUACCGCCCCGGUCUAAAUUUCUUGGAACAGAAUGUCAAAGAGGGUGAGAAUCCCGUCUUGGACCGGCGGUAGGGCCUGUGUAAAACUCCUUCGACGAGUCGAGUUGUUUGGGAAUGCAGCUCAAAAUGGGUGGUAAAUUUCAUCUAAAGCUAAAUAUUGGCCAGAGACCGAUAGCGCACAAGUAGAGUGAUCGAAAGAUGAAAAGCACUUUGAAAAGAGAGUUAAACAGUAUGUGAAAUUGUUGAAAGGGAAGCGCUUGCAACCAGACUUGAGCGCGGCGGUUCCCCCGGUCUUUUGGCCGGGCUACUCCGUCGUGUCCAGGCCAACAUCGGUUCUGAGGGUCGGUCAAAGGCCUUGGGAAUGUAUCUACCUACGGGUAGACUUAUAGACCAGGGUGUCAUGCGGCCUCUCGGGACCGAGGAACGCGCUUCGGCUCGGAUGUUGGCGUAAUGGUUGUCAGCGACCCGUCUUGAAACACGGACCAAGGAGUCUAACAUCUAUGCGAGUGUUUGGGUGUCAAACCCGGAACGCGAAAUGAAAGUGAACGGAGGUAGGAAGCUUCGGCUGCACUAUCGACCGAUCCUGAAGUUUACGGAUGGAUUUGAGUAAGAGCAUAGCUGUUGGGACCCGAAAGAUGGUGAAC